AACUUUCUGAAUCCGUGCCGAGAUUUCGUUAAAUACCAACCCUCCAUAAUGAGACUUCCAAGAUGAGUGAAGUA
rnacentral:pre_miRNA from 1 species